AGUGAACGCUGGCGGUAGGCCUAACACAUGCAAGUCGAACGGCAGCACAGUAAGAGCUUGCUCUUACGGGUGGCGAGUGGCGGACGGGUGAGGAAUACAUCGGAAUCUACUUUUUCGUGGGGGAUAACGUAGGGAAACUUACGCUAAUACCGCAUACUACCUACGGGUGAAAGCAGGGGAUCUUCGGACCUUGCGUGAUUGAAUGAGCCGAUGUCGGAUUAGCUAGUUGGCUGGGUAAAGGCCCACCAAGGCGACGAUCCGUAGCUGGUCUGAGAGGAUGAUCAGCCACACUGGAACUGAGACACGGUCCAGACUCCUACGGGAGGCAGCAGUGGGGAAUAUUGGACAAUGGGCGCAAGCCUGAUCCAGCAAUACCGCGUGGGUGAAGAAGGCCUUCGGGUUGUAAAGCCCUUUUGUUGGGAAAGAAAAGCAGCAGGUUAAUACCCCGCUGUUCUGACGGUACCCAAAGAAUAAGCACCGGCUAACUUCGUG
rnacentral:rRNA from 1 species